AUCCCUUCCUUUCCUUGCUCCCUUACAAACUGAGAGUGCAUCAGCAGAGAUGCCCACAAGGGAAGUACCUUCCCCCCAUACACAACCGGAAUUGGCAGGGAGAGAAAGGAACGGGCUUCUCUACUCUCAGGCACAGCUCCUCCCCUUCUUCCUCAAAGAGCCCUUCUCGCCUCCCAAAAUUUGCCCAAGAUUCCGUUUUACAACGACCUCUCCUCCAGGGCAGAAAUCCUUAAGGAGCAACAACUAGGCGAGGACCGGCUAACUCUUGCACCUCUGUUCCAGGCCCCCAGAAGUUCUUGCCAAGGACCCAUCUAUCUUCAGGAAUUGAUACUUUCAUUUUCUCUGGAUGAUGGUACUCGGAAGAAGGAAGAGAGGAGACCCACACGAAAGGAGACUCAUUAACUGGAGCCUUGGUUACACACACCAGUUGAGUGAAGAAGACCAUUCGUUCACUACGUACCCAGCACUGACUACAUACCAAGUAGCCCCAGCGAUGCUGUGGCUAAGCACUUGCCUGCUAAUCAAAAGCUGCCAGAAAAAGACGUGGCCUUUGGCUUCCAUAAAGGCUACAGCCUUGGAAACCAACCCUAUGGGGCAGUUCUAUUCUGUCCUACAGGGUUGAUGUGAGUCGGGAUCAACUCAAAGGGGAGCCUGGGAACUCUGCCUGCUUUCUUGCACUCCAGCGAUGUGUAUGACACUCCGGACUCCUCCCUCUUGGAAUUCUCCUCAGCUACAUGUUGAAUGCAGCAACCCAACACAGGCCUUAUAAAAAGCUGUUCCCCAAGAAGCAAGGAGCAAAUCCUGGUGCCCUGCAAGUCCCCCAUUCAGCACAUCUGGACAUUUCUAUUACUCCUAACUCCACCCUCACCUGCCUUCCAGGGUUUCAGCUCCAAGGGAGGGGUUUAGAUUGAACACUUGCCUUUAGCCUUUGCCUUUUUUCUUCUCUCUUUGACUUGGCCUCUUCCUCCAGUAGAGGAAAUACUUUUUGCUUCCUCUGUGUAUUGGAUGAAAGCUAUAGGCUAUAUACUCUUCUUUGGGCAAUUAAGUCCAAAAGAAGGGGAAAAAAAACCUAAUUACUGAGAGGGAAAAUGCAUUUUUAAAUACAUAAUAAAUAUCUCCAUUAUCUAGGCAAUCAACGUGUAUUAGAUCAGCAUGAUGUUGCUGUUAGCUGCCUUUGAGCUGGCUCCAGCUCAUGGCCACCUCAUGGAUAACAGAACAAAACUUUGCCCGGUCCUGCACCAUCUUCAUGAUCUUUGAUAUAUCUGAGCCCAUUAGAGUGGCUGUGGAAACCCUGGCGGCAUAGUGGUUAAGUUUGACAGUUGUAACCAAAAGGUCAGCAGUUCAAACCCACCAGGAGCUCCUUGGAAACUCUAUGGGGCAGUUCUACUCUGUCCUAUAGGGUCCCUACAAGUUGGAAUUGACUUGACGGUAACAGGUUUGGCUUUUUUGGUUUUAUACUGGCUAUAGGGUUGCUCUGAGUCAGAACCAACGCGACAGCAAUGGGUUUUUGUUUUGUUUUGUUUAUAGUGGCUAUUGUGUCAAUCCAUCUUGUUUCCCUCAUUUUCAUUGACCCUCUACUUUACCAAACAUGAUGCUCUUUUCUAGUGAUUGGGUCUUUCCUAAUGACAUGUCCAUGGUAAGCAAAAUAAAGUCUCACCAUCCUUGCUUCU